CUCACGUGACUACAGGGCGCCAUUGCUACUAACUUUGAGCUGAUGCUAUGUGUUUUUUGACGUGUAAAAAAUGCCAUGUUGUUGUGGUGCAGCAUGGGGCUGCUCCACCCGCGAGAAUCGUGGAAAGCUUUUACAUCGCUUUCCCUGGUCUACACCCUAGAAAGAAGACAAGUAUGGGAAGUAAAGGUUCGCCAUCUACACUGGAGAGUCACAGACCACAGCGUCUUGUGCCAGGGUGACAGAAGGGGUGGAGAUGGCCGAGGCACGGAAGUUGGCAGGCAAUGUUUCCGAAGAGUCGGCAGUCAUGCCGCGAAGGUCCUUCUCCCGGAACAUCUUCCUCCAUGAGGGUGACCGUGUGAACGUUUUGGUGCCGUCCUAUAGAACGCCCAACACAGUAAUAACAGUGAUUAACAGUAACCGCUGUCUCCAUGUUGUUGUGACAAUACACCAGUAGUGGCUCAAUUAUACAUGUUGUAUUAGGGCCUUGGUUAGCAGCGAUGUAAACACAGCUAAAGCAGCAACAGAAAGGAAAUUCAACACACCAUCUUGACUGGUUAUUUUGCAGACAGUACCUCAUCUGGCCUCCUCUCUGUUCCCAUGGAGAUAAGAGCAUUGUAUUCCUUCUCCAAGAGCUGCCUUGCCUGCAAACCAAUAGAAGAUCAAACCAUAUGAAGGAGUCGGAGAUUGCCAUCCCAUCUGUCCACCAGCACAUCUGCCGAGCUCAUUGGGUGUGGUUGGAUACAAGAGCGGUUCUGUCCCGGACAGCUGCCCAGAAUCAUAGGCUUACGCGGAUCACCAUAGGAUACCAGACCCCACUUAUCAAUCUGUACCUGAGGUAUGGCUGUCUUCUUAAGACUUAACAUUGCCUGCCUCCUCCAGAAAGCUUUCUUCCAGAUUCGUGGGGCCCUUUAAGAUCCCCAGGAUCAUCAGCCCUGUGGCGGUCGAACUCCAGCUGCCUCUAUCCAUCAAGCUACAUCUGGUGGUCUACGUCUCCAACCUCAAACCUGUUUCCACCAGUCCGCUGUGCCUUCCGUUGAUGCUUCCACUUCCUCCGCGCAUAAUCAGAGGUCACCCAGCAUUCACUGUGAAGGUCAUUUUAGACUCCAGAAGGCGAGGCAUGGGAGUUUAGUAUCUGGUCGACUUGGAGGGCUACGAUCCUUAAGAAUGCUCAUGGGUAUCAAGCGCCUGUAUCCUUGAUCCAUCUCUUCAGCGUGACUUCCACUCUCUCCAUCCUGAAACCCCAGCUUCUGAUUGGCCUCCUCCGACUUCGUCACCUCCCUCCUGGCGGCCGCAAGCUGCUCCUCAAUUUCACUGACCUGACGCGACGGCACAAAAGGGACACAAGACAACAAAGAUUGAACAGAUCAAGCAUUCCAGAUGGAGAAAAUAUGGCGCUCUGGCUGUACUGCAACUACUAGACUACACCACACACACACACACACACACACACACACACACACACACACACACACACACACACACACACUGUUGUACCUGUG